GCUUGUUUACAGCCUAAACUUUCCUGAAAACGAGGAAAGUGCGGGGGACCCGGACUCCACGGUUUCAUAUCGGGGACGGGGCGAAUGAUAUCUGGCAACAGAAUAUCAGGACUACUUCUAAAGUCCAGCCCGACAGCUAACUUCGCAGGCAUUUAGAAGAGUGAGC
rnacentral:sRNA from 2 species